rnacentral:rRNA from 1 species
GACGAACGCUGGCGGCGUGCCUAAUACAUGCAAGUUGAGCGAUGAAGAUUGGUUCUUGCACCAAUUUGAAGAGCAGCGAACGGGUGAGUAACGCGUGGUGAAUCUGCCUUUGAGCGGGGGACAACAUUUGGAAACGAAUGCUAAUACCGCAUAACAACUUUAAACAUAAGUUUUAAGUUUGAAAGAUGCAAUUGCAUCACUCAAAGAUGAUCCCGCGUUGUAUUAGCUAGUUGGUGAGGUAAAGGCUCACCAAGGCGAUGAUACAUAGCCGACCUGAGAGGGUGAUCGGCCACAGUGGGACUGAGAAACGGCCCAAAAUCCUACGGGAGGCAGCAGUAGGGAAUCUUCGGCAAUGGACGAAAGUCUGACCGAGCAACGCCGCGUGAGUGAAGAAGGUUUUCGGAUCGUAAAACUCUGUUGGUAGAGAAGAACGUUGGUGAGAGUGGAAAGCUCAUCAAGUGACGGUAACUACCCAGAAAGGGACGGCUAACUACGUG